rnacentral:rRNA from 1 species
UACGUAGGUGACCAGCGUUGUCCGGAUUUACUGGGCGUAAAGAGCGCGCAGGCGGUCGUUCAAGUCGAGUGUGAAAGCCCCCGGCUCAACUGGGGAGGGUCACUUGAUACUGAUCGACUCGAAGGCAGGAGAGGGAAGCGGAAUUCCCGGUGUAGUGGUGAAAUGCGCAGAUAUCAGGAAGAACACCUAUGGCGAAGGCAGCUCUCUGGGACGGUACUGACGCUGAGACGCGAAAGCGUGGGGAGCGAACAGG